UUCUAUGACUUGCUGAUUGAGAACAUCGCUGAGUCUGACCUGGGACUGUACUCCUGCAGCACCAUGGGGAGAGAAGAGGAGAAGAGAUCCGACCAGGUUGUGUAUUACCUGGAGGUCUACCUCUAUGGAAACAUCACCACUCGGAUUUCCUUUGAGAACAACCAGGACACCCCUGAAUGUGGUCUGAGCUGGGUCCUGGUACUGACCUCCAAAUCUCUGUUCCUGCUCCUCAUUCCUGCUGCCUUCUGGGUCGACAAAAUACACAGAGCCAGGAGGAAUGCCUGAAAAUAACCAGAGACCAGUCAGUCUCCAUGACAACCACUGCAGUUGUUACGUCCCCUGAGAGAUAUACAGUGGGGCAAAAAAAGUAUUUAGUCAGACACCACUUGUGCAAGUUCUCCCACUUAAAAAGAUGAGAGAGGCCUGUAAUUUUCAUCAUAGGUACACUUCAACUAUGACAGACAAAAUGAGAAGAAAAAAAUCCAGAAAAUCACACUGUAGUAUUUUUUAUGAAUUUAUUUGCAAAUUAUGGUGCAAAAUAAGUAUUUGGUCAAUAACAAAAGUUUAUCUCAAUACUUUGUUAUAUACCCUUUGUUGGCAAUGACAGAGGUCAAACAAGGUUUUCACACACUGUUGCUGGUAUUUUGGCCCAUUCCUCUAUGCAGAUCUCCUCUAGAGCAGUGAUGUUGUGGGGCUGUUGCUGGGCAACACAGACUUUCAACUCCCUCCAAAGAUUUUCUAUGGGGUUGAGAUCUGGAGACUGGCUAGGCCACUCCAGGACCUUGAAAUGCUUCUUACGAAGCCACUCCUUCGUUGCCCAGGCGGUGUGUUUGGGAUCAUUGUCAUGCUGAAAGACCCAGCCCCGUUUCAUCUUCAAUGCCCUUGCUGAUGGAAGGAGGUUUUCACUCAAAAUCAGUGCUGUUUUUCUAGAAAAUUGUGCAUUUUGUUAAUGGAGCCUUUAGGCUUUAUGUCUUUUUGAUUAAAGUUGUGUGUCACCCACUAGGUGUUUUAGAACAAUUAAAUAUAUUCCCUUAUAAAAAAAUGUGAAUUCUCAAUUAUGUAAAAAGGUUAUCUUGACUUUUAUCUGUAGCUAUGUUUUAGCAUUU